UCCACUCUGGAAAACGGAUCGCAUGACCUUCAAAGAAUGAUCUAGAAGUUUCAAUUAGGGGCGACCUUAUUACCAAUUUCGUUUUCUCCUCCUCUACAGCUACAUUGGAAAAAUCUUUUCUCACCGAACAACUAACUUCUCAUUCGCAAGCUUGUAAUUUCGGUUUCUGAAUUCGCAAUGUCAUCUCCUGCUGAAAAAAUCAAGAAUUCAAGGGGUCGUGUUUUGAGUUCGGACUUCUGGCAGACAAUAGCUGCGAUAUAGAUGGAGAAUUGGUGGAAGGCCUUGAAUGGCUUUCUUUUUCGCUUUAUAUUUAUUUAUUUAUUUAUUUUAAUAAUUUUGAAUUUUCUUAGCCGAAUCACUGCACCCGUAUCCAUACCUGGAUCCGCACCUCCGAAUCUUAAAUUUAGAUUUUGCCGAAUCCGACACUCGGAUCCGUGCCCGUAUCGGAUACCCACGCCCGAGUCCGAGCAACUUAGUCCCACACACUUAGAUUUUUCCUCCUCCUCACUCCCCCUUCACCAACCAGCGACUCCUGUCUCUUGUGUCUGUAUCUUUAAGAAUCUAAUCUCCCCAGCCUUACCCCUUACACUUAGCACUUUUUGUUAACUUUUGUUGCCUAUUUUAUUUUUUAAAACAAAAGAUUUUUGCCCAAUCUUCUUUUUUUUUUUUGACUUGGUGACUCAAUUUUGAUUGAAACUUUAGCAAUUUCUUUAUUCCCUUAAAUGAGGAAAAUCAAACACAAAAAACAUUUAACUAGCGAAGCUGAAAUAUUUCUUGAAAGACUAAAUUAUUGG